CUUCAUUAGUGGAAGCUUGAGAAAAUUUAAAGGGGCUGUUCAACUUCCUUCCUUAAAACAUGUCUCUAUUUUUCUUUCUAGGGAACCACAGGAUAUCAGUGCUUCAGAAUGGAAAGGUGACUACUGCAGACUAGAUGCCAAGUUCAUUUGAUCAUUUAGGCAACCUAGACUCCGAGACAACACGACUUGUAUGUCACAAGGUCAAUGUUCCCCCAGAAAAACACAUUCUGGUAUUGUGAGUGCCAUCAUCCAGAUGCAUUUGUGACCUCUUCCACAUCAUUUCUGGGUUGAUCUCUGUUACCAACAGACAAAAGUCUAAGUGACAGUUACAUCAUUUCUGAGAUCAGGUUAUAUAAGAGAACUUCAUGCGAUCUCUCUCACUGCCUACUCUGGAGGAAGCCAGCUUUGAUGGUGAGAGAACAGCCCUAUGGAGAGACCUGUGUAACAAGGAACUGAGGCCUGCCAACAGCCUCAUGAGUGAAACUAGAAGUGGAUCUUCCAGUCCUGGUCAAGUCUUAGAGACUACAAGCCCAAGAAUCUCAUAAUACCCUGAAGCAGAACCACCAGCUAUAGUGGAAAAGGAAAAAGAGUGGGAGAAGAUUCCAGAGGACCGCAGAGAAUCUGGGACUGAACUGAGGAAAGCUUCUGGAGCUAACCCCACCCUGUCAGGCAAAUGAGUACCACUAACAAGCCAUGUGAUGUAAGUGAAUCUUAUAUUGUCACUGCUACUAUUCCAGCCAACAUAUCCAAAGAAUCUCGGGUUGCCAUAAUUAACACGGAGGAUCGCCUCGGACCCUACGUACCUAGACCUAGGAUCAUGAAAGUCAGUGAAUGCUGGCAGUGACAGCCUGAACUGUUACUGCCACUUCACAUCCUCUUUCUGGGCAACGUUGUAGUUCCUCCCACAACAAUAAAAACUGUACUUCCUUGACCUUUGAGUUCAGCUUCAAACUUGCUUGAGUUCAAGGAAUGUGGGCAUGAGCGAUAGUGAGCUGGUUCCUAACCUAGGCAUCAAGAGGCCUCAUUCGCUUCCAGGUUGCAUCUCAGCCUCCUGUUACUGCCAUGACAGCAGCUUCCUCUGGAUGACGGCUCUCCCUUCAGCUUGGGCCCCAGACUAAGCACGUGAGGAGCAGAGACAGCAGAGUAUGCCUGGCCAGUCCCACAGAAGGAGGGCUGUGCGGCCAAAUCCAGCCUACCUGAGCCCCAGUGCACUUAGGUGUGAGAGAAACGAAAGCCUAUUGGUAAAUGACUUGACUUCAUAUUUGCUUGUUAGAAACAAAAUGUUGUCAACUACCAA